rnacentral:rRNA from 1 species
AUGAACGCUGGCGGCGUGCUUAACACAUGCAAGUCGAACGAAGUUGUUAAAAGGAAGUCUUCGGAUGGAAUUUUAACAGACUUAGUGGCGGACGGGUGAGUAACGCGUGGAUAACCUGCCUUAUACAGGGGGAUAACGGAGAGAAAUUUCCGCUAAGACCGCAUAAGACCACAGCACCGCAUGGUGCAGGGGUAAAAUAUUAAUAGGUAUAAGAUGGAUCCGCGUCCGAUUAGCUUGUUGGUGAGGUAGAGGCUCACCAAGGCGACGAUCGGUAGCCGGCCUGAGAGGGUGAACGGCCACAUUGGGACUGAGACACGGCCCAAACUCCUACGGGAGGCAGCAGUGGGGAAUAUUGGACAAUGGGGGAAACCCUGAUCCAGCGACGCCGCGUGAGUGAAGAAGUAUUUCGGUAUGUAAAGCUCUAUCAGCAGGGAAGAAAAUGACGGUACCUGACUAAGAAGC